UACGAAGGGGGCUAGCGUCGCUCGGAAUCACUGGGCGUAAAGCGCGCGUAGGCGGAUCGUUAAGUCGGGGGUGAAAUCCUGGAGCUCAACUCCAGAACUGCCUUUGAUACUGGCGAUCUUGAGUCCGGGAGAGGUGAGUGGAACUCCGAGUGUAGAGGUGAAAUUCGUAGAUAUUCGGAAGAACACCAGUGGCGAAGGCGGCUCACUGGCCCGGUACUGACGCUGAGGUGCGAAAGCGUGGGGAGCAAACAGG
rnacentral:rRNA from 1 species